GCGGCGAGUGGCGACGGGUGAGUAAUACAUCGGAACGUGCCCAAUCGUGGGGGAUAACGCAGCGAAAGCUGUGCUAAUACCGCAUACGAUCUACGGAUGAAAGCAGGGGAUCGCAAGACCUUGCGCGAAUGGAGCGGCCGAUGGCAGAUUAGGUAGUUGGUGAGGUAAAGGCUCACCAAGCCUUCGAUCUGUAGCUGGUCUGAGAGGACGACCAGCCACACUGGGACUGAGACACGGCCCAGACUCCUACGGGAGGCAGCAGUGGGGAAUUUUGGACAAUGGGCGCAAGCCUGAUCCAGCCAUGCCGCGUGCAGGAUGAAGGCCUUCGGGUUGUAAACUGCUUUUGUACGGAACGAAACGGCUCUUUCUAAUAAAGAGGGCUAAUGACGGUACCGUAAGAAUAAGCACCGGCUAACUACGUGCCAGCAGCCGCGGUAAUACGUAGGGUGCAAGCGUUAAUCGGAAUUACUGGGCGUAAAGCGUGCGCAGGCGGUGAUGUAAGACAGUUGUGAAAUCCCCGGGCUCAACCUGGGAACUGCAUCUGUGACUGCAUCGCUGGAGUACGGCAGAGGGGGAUGGAAUUCCGCGUGUAGCAGUGAAAUGCGUAGAUAUGCGGAGGAACACCGAUGGCGAAGGCAAUACUGACGCU
rnacentral:rRNA from 1 species